UGAAGACCCAGGGCUCCCGGGGAGCGUGGCGAACGGGCUCUGAAGCCUCGGUCAAGCCGUCUAGGAGAUUGUGAGGCAGCCGGCGAGCCGCUUGUCUAGAUGGAAACUCAGAGAAGUGACUGCUCGAAAAGAGCGGAACUCCAAGACUCUGAACUUCAAGCACUAUAUUGAAGAGGUAUGGAGAGAUUUCCUACCUGGCUUUAGCCAUUGGCCGAAACAGCUUUAUUCAUCAGCCAAUAAAAGCAACACAUAUCCAGAAGGACAUCCUACAUCAGAGUCUGUGUUAGGAUGAAUUGGGAUGUGUCUCAGAAGAAAUACAUGGAUAUCCAGGAUGUCAUUCCAAGGGGAGGAGUGAUUCGGGCUCCCUCUCCUCCUUCACAGCCCCUCCCUCACCUAUGUAAGUGUUCUUGUCAAAGUCAUUACUCAAAA